GUGCAUUGUUUCUUUUGGUUCUUGAGAACAGUUUCUAUUUUUCAUCACUGAGAUGAGGGCAGCGAUGGUUUGGGGGGGGGGGGCGCCCGAGCAGAAUCGCUCAGUUUGAACUUUACCUCCUGGACCCGCCUCUCAGGGGCGCCCUGAGGUCCCCGCACCCCAAUUUGGGAAUCUACCCUCCUUCUCAUCCACCCCCUCCUCUCCCAUUCUUCAGAACCCCACGGGGUACUCUGCCCCCGCUUCUGCGUCCAGACGCGGCGAUGCAGGGGUUAACGUGGUGACGUGGUGCUCCUGAAGCGCUGACCCACGAGGGCAGCCUGUGGGGGCUGCAGGGGGGAAGAAGAUGUGAGAACAGGAGAAAGCCGAGGUUGAGGUGCCGUUUGGGAAGGAAGGAAGGAGGAAAGAAGACUCCGAACAACCCCCGCGUUUUUGUAAUAAUUUCCAAACUGCAGAUUCUUCCUGCGGCUCGUUUGUUUUACGCAUAUCCAGUAAAACAAGAAUGGAAA